rnacentral:lncRNA from 1 species
CUACACAAAACUAAUUUUGCGAGGAGAGGAGCAGCCAACUCUCCAGAGAUGUGAGGACUACUGUUCCUUGUACCACUGUCCUUUCUGUGGGCCCGAAAUGUUCAAACCCACCAUCAAAAGCAAAUGUUUAAAACAUUUAGAAGGUCACAGAAGAAGAGCGAUACGGCACAAGGGCAAGUAUUAAAUAAUGUAAGAAAUUACAAGCAUUUAAAUGUAUAUAUUUAACCUGAAAGUGUCCCAUGAAGUCACAGGAAUAAAUGAUUAUUCUGUUCCGUCGAGUAUUAAAAUUUACUGAAGCAUAGAAUUUUAUAGAAGCAUAAGAAAAUCUUCGUAUUAAAUGGAUAUCUAACAGGACUUUUUUAAAUUUUUACUCUAUUUUUUCCCACUAGAGUUCUUCAAUUUUUAAAUGUCAUUUAAAGUGCCGAACUGCUCCACACUUUCACUGCGUUAGCUGCACAUCCACUUUUAUGAGGAAAGAUGGUUUUCUAAAACACCUGGCCAUGUGCGAGAGCAAAAAACCCAAAGUGACAGUUGUAGAGUUGAAAUCAGACGAGAGUUUACCUGCACCAGAUCUUCAUCUGACUACAUCUGAGGCUGGCAGUACUGAGGAGAUGCCUGUCAGUGAAGGACACAAGAAUCUGAUCUCUGAAGAUGCUCUGAAAAUCAGGAGAAGAAAAGCAUACUUUGAGCAACACUUGUGUCCUAAAAGGGCUGUAAGUGAGGAGACAGUGAGCCAGGGGAUGGCAGACCAAAACUCCAGAGGUGACGGAGGGAUUAUGGAGGAGCAGGUGAGAACAGAUGACCCAACUAUAUCCCCAGUGGAUGAAGGAGAUCCUUCAGUGGUAGAUCUCUCCGUAGUGGAUCAUAAUGUCACAGAGACCACUGUCUCAAAUUCUGCUGCCAGUCUUCAUCCUAUAGAGGCUGAUGCGCCAUACAGACUUUUGGUAAAUGAGACGUUCUCUGGACACACAUCUGUUGAAAGCACCAUCCCACAAAGAUCCAGAUCUGAUGCACAAGAUCUGUGUCCGUUCUGUGGUUUAAUGCUGUACAGGAAGAAUCUGCAGGUGCAUUUAAGAAGGAAGCACCCAGAUCAAAUGUCAAACCUGGAGAAACCUGCCUCUGCUCAGGUGAAAAACCCAAAACAACAGAGACUUGCUUUGCGACAACAACAGAAGGUGAGAGAAGUUCCUCUCUUUAGAGAGCAGGGUUUAUGAGGGAACUGAAUUGAGUGUGUGAGUUAAAUUAAAACAAAUACAUAUAAAUUAAAAACUAAAUAAAAAACACUCAUUUAAAAAAGUAAUUUAUUUGUUUACCUACAUAUCAUGUAACCAGUUACUGAUAUCAGAGGACUGGGAAUGUGCAAACGUGUUGUUAAAUUAUCAAAGUAUUAACUUAAAAUGUCGGGGUUAAAUAUUUUAUGUCAAAGGGGUUUGGUUGACAGAAAAGUUCAGGAAUCCCUGCUUUAAAAUACAACCUUAAACAGACGGUUCACCCAAAAUGCAAAUUCUGUCAUCAUUUAUUUACUCUCAUGUUAUUCCAAACUGCAUGACUAUUUUAUUCUGGAGAACACAAAAGCUGAUAUUUUAGAAAAAAAAAAAAAGACCAUCCAGGACAUUGUUCAAAAUUUCUUUUGUUGGCCCCCCCCCCCCAAAAGUCAUGCAGGUUUUCAGUGAUGGUGUGUAAAUGACAGAUUUAUGGGGGAACUAUUCCGCUAUAGUUGAUUUGUCUCAGAAAUUUCUUGUACAUAUUUAAAUAAUAGGAAAAUAUUAUAAAUAAUUUGUAUAAAUAUAAAUAAUAAUCCUAAAUAGUUUCAAUUUAAAGAUAAAUAGUAACAGAAACAUCCUAAAUAAUUUCAAUCUAAAGACAAAUAGUAAACGUUGCAGACAUUCUUUAUACAAAAGGGAAUCGCAAUACCUUAAAACUGACGGGAAACGAAAAGACAUUAUUAAGUGAUUUUACAAACAGCAAAAUCCAAUAUUUUAUACAUAAUACUAUGGAUUAUUUUAUUAUGCGUAACCACAAGAGUUCUUCAGUACUGGCGCAGGUAAAUAAAGAUCAUAGUGUCGAAAGUGUGCUGAAUAAACCGAAACCCCCCUCAGAGGCCGCAGAAUGGAUGCGUCCGCACCGAAAGCGCUGUGUCCGCUGUUGAAACAUCGGCUCUCACCGACACUUCAGCGAUUUUUCCCGAUCUCACUCUUCUGUCACGACGGUCCACUACUUCAAAUUCACUGGACCGCUGUGGAUUAUUGUUGGUGACAUGCGUUGCGGUGGCGUCUGUGUUGUUGUUGUUUUAGCCAGAUUUCGUUUGCGCCCAGCUGACCCACAUCUAUUUUAAGGUGCAAACGUACACGGUGCUACUUUUUAGCGUCUGGUCACUCUCUUUUUAUUAACGUGUUGCUUUAUUAUUGACAGAGUAUAUCUUUUAAAAUGA